rnacentral:rRNA from 1 species
UACGAAGGGGGCUAGCGUUGCUCGGAAUCACUGGGCGUAAAGGGCGCGUAGGCGGCCGGGUCAGUCGGGCCUGUAAGUGCGGGGCUCAACCCCGUGAUGGGCUCGGGACGGCACGGCUGGGGCGCGGCAGAGGGAGACGGAAUGCCGGGUGUAGUGGUGAAAUUCGUAGAUAUUCGCAAGAACACCAGUGGCGAAGGCGGCUCACUGGCCCGGUACUGACGCUGAGGUGCGAAAGCGUGGGGAGCAAACAGG